rnacentral:rRNA from 1 species
UACGUAGGGGGCAAGCGUUUGUCCGGAUUUAUUGGGUUUAAAGGGUGCGUAGGCGGCCCUGUAAGUCAGUGCUGAAAUAUCCCGGCUUAACCGGGAGGGUGGCAUUGAUACUGCAGGGCUUGAAUGAAGUUGAAGUGGGCGGAAUUGACGGUGUAGCGGUGAAAUGCUUAGAUAUCGUCAAGAACACCGAUAGUGAAGACAGCUCACUAAGCUUAUAUUGACGCUGAGGCACGAAAAGUGUGGGGGAUCAAACAGGG